CGGCGAACAAGGGUUGGGCCGGGUCCAUCGGAUUGUUCUGGGUAAUCCACUUGCGGGUCGCCGCCACAUUCGCCGGC
rnacentral:tRNA from 1 species